rnacentral:rRNA from 1 species
UAGGGAAUAUUGCACAAUGGGCGAAAGCCUGAUGCAGCAACGCCGCGUGCGCGAUGACGGCCUUCGGGUUGUAAAGCGCUUUUCGGGGAGAUGAGGAAGGACAGUAUCCCCGGAAUAAGGCUCGGCUAACUACGUGCCAGCAGCCGCGGUAACACGUAGGAGCCAAGCGUUAUCCGAAUUCACUGGGCGUAAAGCGCGUGUAGGCGGCUUGGUAAGUUGGAUGUGAAAGCUCCUGGCUCAACUGGGAGAGGACGUUCAAUACUGCCGGGCUAGAGGGCGACAGAGGAAGGUGGAAUACCCGGUGUAGUGGUGAAAUGCGUAGAUAUCGAGAGGAAAAACAGUGGCGAAAGC